AAACCAUGCAGCUGUGGACAGAACUCGCCUCGGGACCUCGGGCUGGGAGUGUCUCAGAGUGCAUGCCAGGCCUCCACAUCCCACCAACACAUGCUGCAGCACUGUCUGACUUCAGCAUCUGAAUGCAUGAGAAGCGGAGUCUCACUGGGGCUGUAAUCUGCAUUCUCCAGUGACCGGCAGUGCCACGCAGCAUCCCCCUGCUCACUGGCCACUGUAUGUCUAUGGAGAAACAUCUGUCCAGACCCAUCGCCCAUCUCUGCACCUUUCUGCUCAUUUCUAAGAGACGAGUUCUCCCUAUGUUGCCCAAGCUGCUCUCAAACUCCUGGGCUCAAGCGAUCCACCUGCCUUGGCCUCCCGAAGUGCUGGGAUUACAGGCGUGAGCCACCGCGCCCGGCCCACAUGAAUGAUUUAUUCCACUUGGCGCUCCUUUUCCUCGUUUCACUGUACAUCGAUGAAGACAUUGGCACCAACGCACAGGUCCAUGGAUCAGAGUUGAGGAAAGUCUGUUCCAAUCUUAACCCUUUUGGUGCUGGCUUUGUUUUACUGAAGACGAAACAGAGGGUCCAAGUGGUUACAUCCCGAGCGCCGGCAGUGGCUGCACGAGGCAGGACUGCCUCCAGCUCUAACUGUACUGCACCUGCACCCACCAGCCAGGGUCCGCCGCUUUCAGCCGGAAUCCAUAGACAAUUCACACGGCAAAGAGAGGAGACCAAGCUUGGGUUUCAAAAUGAGCUGAAAUAUCAAAGCAGAAUAAAGUCACUUCUUUAAACGUGGGGCCAUUUCAGAGUUAAUUUCACAAAAGGAGACAUCGUGUUGCUUCAAACUGCUGUGCAAACAUCAGAGUGACUCGUUAUCUAAGUCUCAGUCAGAAACACUGGCAGUCACUUCUGAUCUGCGUUAGAUUGUAAGUCAUUUGUUCUCCUCUAAAUAGCAACAAGAGGCCGGGCAUGGUGGUUCAUGCCUGUAAUCCCAACACUUUGGGAGGCCGAGGCAGGUGGAUCACAAGGUCAAGAGAUCAAGACCAUGCUGGCCAACAUGGUGAAGCCCUGUCUCUACUAAAAAUACAAAAAUUAGCCGGGUGUGGUGAUGCGCACCCAUAAUACCAGCUACACGGGAAGCUGAGGCAGAAGAAUCACUUAAACCUGGGAGGCAGAGGUUGCAGUGAACCGAGAUCACGCCACUGCACUCCAGCCUGGGGACAGAGCGAAACUCCAUCUCAAAAAAAAAAGAAAAAAAGAAAAGAAACUCUGAAGUCAGUCUGAAGCCUGGGAGGGACAAAGGUGUUUUGCAGGUUCCUGCAGCUCAGGCACCCAGCGGGGGCUCACUUGAGAGGGUUAAGAGGGUGAGUGCCUGGGAGGAGCCUUCAAUCAAAACUUAGCUGUAGCUGAGUCCAACUGUGUGGUACCUCCCCAGCACAGCCCUCUGACCUGGGAACAGGCCCAGAGAACACAGAGGGAGUGAAGGUUGGUUAUCUCCCCCUGAGGUCUGCGCUCCUACCCCUGGCUCCUGAUCCGAGCCCUUGCUGUCAGAGAAGACAGGAACCUCACACUUCCUGAACACGCGCAAUGCCCCUACCAAAACACGGGAGCUGCAGGCGGGCCUUUGGUCUUCUUCUGCUCCGUGCCCAUUGCCAUCUUCCAGAAGACACACAUCAUGCCUGUUCUCUCCUUCCACGCCAGGCCAGGGGAGAGGGUGGCCCCCACCCCAACCCCAACUCUGCUCCAACCGAAGGAGCCUCCUCCUGUGUGCACCCCCGUCCCCAGCACGGCGCAGCUCUACCACCAAACAGACAAAGCACAGCCAGCUCUGAUUGACCCAGGGAGGCCGGGGACCUUGCCCUCUGGAGCAGCCCACAUGGCCCACGGAUGGCGCAGUGGCCCCCACACAGAAGGCUGCCCUUGGGCUCCUUUCCGGAGCGGCAUGGCCCGGAGGAAGUGGCCAGGUAGCAAGGCCAGGCUACAGUGAGGCUGGCGGAAAGAAGAGGAAAUGGGCGUGGACACCAUCUGCCGGACUCAGAGCCCUGGGGACUCAGGCAGUCUGACAGCAACCUUGGCCCAUGAAAACACGGAGCCUAAGGGGCUCCCGGGAGAGGACAGUCCAGGCUCCGAGCCCAGCUCAGAUGAGAGGCUGCCCGGAUAAUGACCUUCAGAGGGCUCUGCUCAUCAUUACAUGAAAUUAUGCAAAUGAGACUUUAUGUAUUUAUUUAAGAGUCUCUGUUGCCCAGGUUGGAGUGCAGUGGUGUGAUCUGGGCUCAUUGCAAUCUCCACCUCCCAGGUUCAAGUAAUUCUCAUGCCUCAGCCUCCCAAGUAGAUGGGAUUACAGGCGUGAGCCACCGUGCCUGGCCAAGACUCUUUUAAAAUGCGAAUUCAGGCCAGGCGAGGUGGCUCAGGCCUGUAACCCCAGCACUUUGGGAGGCCGAGGCAGGUGGAUCACCUGAGGUCAGGAGUUCAAGACCAGCCUGGCCAACAGGGUGAAACCCCGUCUCUACUAAAAAUACAAAAAUUAGCUGGGUGUGGUG
rnacentral:lncRNA from 1 species